CUGAGAAGGAUGCUCUGCUCUCGCAGGCCAACAAGUUGCACCCUCCCCACCAUGGCAUGCUUGCUCCCAUCAAAGA
rnacentral:tRNA from 1 species